rnacentral:rRNA from 1 species
AUUGAACGCUGGCGGCAGGCCUAACACAUGCAAGUCGAACGAGUGGCGGACGGGUGAGUAAUGUAUGGGAAACUGCCUGCUGGAGGGGGAUAACUACUGGAAAAGGUAGCUAAUAACGCAUACCAUCAGAUGUGCCCAGAUGGGAAUAGCUAGUUGGUGGGGUAAAGGCUCACCAAGGCGACGAUCCCUAGCUGGUCUGAGAGGAUGACCAGCCACACUGGAACGGAGACACGGUCCAGCCUCCUACGGGAGGCAGCAGUGGGGAAUAUUGCACUAUGGGCGCAAGCCUGAUGCAGCCAUGCCGCGUGUAUGAAGAAGGCCUUCGGGUUGUAAAGUACUUUCAGCAGGGAGGCGUUACCCGCAGAAGAAGCACCGGCUAACUCCGUGCCAGCCGCCGCGGUAAUAC